rnacentral:misc_RNA from 1 species
UCGUAUUAUAUUGAAAUGAAACGACUUCGUAGCUUUGAAGGCUGCUUACAAUAUAUUUUUUUUCAUUUGUUUUGGAUCACUUCUGUCAUUUAUCUUCUUGUUCUUUGCCUUUAACCUGAAUGGCGAAAAAGAAUGCAUGUAGCGAACCACAUCUAGUUUGGGGUUUAAUGCUUAGUUGUUGUUGUUCUUUGGCUUUACCCUCUGCUUGGAUUGAAGUAAAUAGGAGAGGAAAGAAAAUGGAGGGAAAUAAUGGGUGGAAUAGGAUUUUCCCCUUGUUUGUAUAAGGGAGGAAAAUUGCAAAAGGAAAGAAAAUAAAGCUUUAUUUUCCUUCUAGAGCAUUCUCUCCAAUUUGGAGAGAAAAUGAAGAGGCGAUGAUGCGAAAUUUUAGUAUUGAGUCAAAAAUUACUUAUUUGUCCUUUAUAUUUUAAAUUCUAUUUAGGAAUAUGGAAGUUAUAACUAUAAACUCACAAAAUAUUUUCUUUCCUUUCUUAAGUUUCUUCUCUUCCUAAACAAGAAAAAAUAUAUUUAUUUCCCUUCAUCCCCUUUUAUUUUUUUUCAAUCCAAACAACAAAGAGGAAAAUAAGAAAGAUAAUUUUUUUUCCAUUAUUUUCCCUUUCUCUUAUAUGUUUCCAAACAGAGGGUUAAACUCUGUAAUGGUGCAGGUUUGAG